GGCGGGUUUACUCGUCAUCGUACAACUUGGUGACUCUGAAUAACUUUACGCUGAUCGCACGGUCUCGCACCGGCGACGCAUCUUUCAAAUGUCUGCCUUAUCAACUGUCGAUGGUAGGUUCUGCGCCUACCAUGGUUGUAACGGGUAACGGGGAAUCAGGGUUCGAUUCCGGAGAGGGAGCCUGAGAAACGGCUACCACAUCCAAGGAAGGCAGCAGGCGCGCAAAUUACCCACUCCCGGCACGGGGAGGUAGUGACGAAAAAUAACGAUACGGGACUCAUCCGAGGCCCCGUAAUCGGAAUGAGUACACUCUAAACCCUUUAACGAGGAUCAAUUGGAGGGCAAGUCUGGUGCCAGCAGCCGCGGUAAUUCCAGCUCCAAUAGCGUAUAUUAAAGUUGUUGCGGUUAAAAAGCUCGUAGUCGAAUCUGUGUCCCGCGUCGCCGGUUCAUCGUCCGCGGUGUUAACUGGCGUUCCGCGGGACGUCCUGCCGGUGGGCUUAGCUCGCAAGGGCGGCCCAACUCAAUCCCGCCGCGGUGCUCUUCAUUGAGUGUCGAGGUGGGCCGGCACGUUUACUUUGAACAAAUUAGAGUGCUUAAAGCAGGCUAAAACUUCGCCUGAAUACUGUGUGCAUGGAAUAAUGGAAUAGGACCUCGGUUCUAUUUUGUUGGUUUUCGGAACCCCGAGGUAAUGAUUAAUAGGAACGGAUGGGGGCAUUCGUAUUGCGACGUUAGAGGUGAAAUUCUUGGAUCGUCGCAAGACGGACAGAAGCGAAAGCAUUUGCCAAAAACGCUUUCAUUGAUCAAGAACGAAAGUUAGAGGUUCGAAGGCGAUCAGAUACCGCCCUAGUUCUAACCAUAAACGAUGCCAGCUAGCGAUCCGCCGACGUUCCUCCGAUGACUCGGCGGGCAGCUUCCGGGAAACCAAAGCUUUUGGGUUCCGGGGGAAGUAUGGUUGCAAAGCUGAAACUUAAAGGAAUUGACGGAAGGGCACCACUAGGAGUGGAGCCUGCGGCUUAAUUUGACUCAACACGGGAAACCUCACCAGGCCCGGACACCGGAAGGAUUGACAGAUUGAGAGCUCUUUCUUGAUUCGGUGGGUGGUGGUGCAUGGCCGUUCUUAGUUGGUGGAGCGAUUUGUCUGGUUAAUUCCGAUAACGAACGAGACUCUAGCCUGCUAA
rnacentral:rRNA from 1 species